rnacentral:lncRNA from 1 species
AGCAGGGGCAAUCAGAAUAAGGGCCACUAACUGACGGCUGCUUCAGGACUUUAAAUUGUGCUCUUAUAUCAAAUUUCCUUUUCUGCGUAUACUGUAAUGUUUUACUGUUGCUAUGGCCAUUGGCUAAUGCGAAUAAAGUUUUAUCUUCUUCUUCAAGACAUGAAUUUAGAUGUACGCAUUAGCCAAUCUUCUGCAAUAAUUAAAAACAGUUUAUAACCAUUUGAAGUGUCUGGCUAAAUUGUUAUAAUUAUUGUACCCCCUGAUGGCAAAGCAUUGGAAACACCUGGAGGUUGCUGUGGGGUCUUUCCUGUACAGUUCUGCCAAUUUCCAUUCUGCCUCUCUCUUUCCUCUUCCUUUCAAAACAGCCAGGCAAAAUUAUGCUAAGAUUCAGCACAAUGUACACUCAUUACUUGGAACGCCUCCUCUGUUUUUCCUACCUCGUAUGACCUCAAGGCAAGGCUAAUGAGAGAAACCAAAGCAGCAGCUGCCUGUGGUGUCUGGAAGCAGCAGGUUACAAUAGCGCUCAAGGGGGAGAGGCAGGCUGUCAGAACCACAUUUCGGCAGCAGAGCUUAGAGAUGUGCAUCACAUCCUUCUAUAGCUUUCUGAACACAACUCGAGCUGAUCAUUAGUGAUGGAUGAAUUUGUACUGGCUCAGUUUUGAAUGGUUCACUAUUUACAAACAUUGUUGCAGAAUAUGUUUCAAACAAUGCCAUUUGCUUGUGUGAAGAAACAUAGGAAAUUGCCUUUUACUGAAUCAAAACAAUGGUUCAUCUACCUCUGUAUUGUCAACACUGAUUGGAAGCAUCUUUCCUGGCUUUCAGCAGCCCUCCCAUUCGCCGAAUCUUCAGACUUAGUAGAUCAGCUCCAACCUCUUCCUGUUCUGAGAGGCUGAGUCUAUUCGUGCCUAUUUGUGCUUCCUGUGAGCUUUGACUGUGUUCUAGCCUGCUCUCAAGCUACUGCCUUAUCAGCUUGCCCAUCAACCUCAGGAAGAGUUGAAAUCUGCAGCUGCCAGCUCUCCCCUGCCUGACUAACAUCUAAGCCUCUCUGUUCCUGGCUGCUUUCUGCAGUUGGCUGCAAAUCUUUGCUUGGAGCUGGCUCAUUCCUGACACUUACCUGGGAAUAAGCCACACUGAUUUCCAUGGGACUUAACUCUGACGAGACAAGUUUAUGGGAGACAAAGGAUGAGCAAGGAGAAUCCUCAAUGAUCCAUUGGGCAUUAGAUAUUGGUCAUAAUAUAGCUAUGGAAGCUUGGGAACGAUUGUGGAAUAUGGAUAUAAAAUUUGCAGCAUGUUAUGCUUUAAGAGAAAAUCAUAUGAAAAGGAUGUAUUGAUGGUAUCUAA